GACGAACGCUGGCGGCGUGCCUAAUACAUGCAAGUCGAACGAACCGCGACUAGGUGCUUGCACUUGGUCAAGGUGAGUGGCGAACGGGUGAGUAACACGUGGGUAACCUACCUCAUAGUGGGGGAUAACAGUCGGAAACGACUGCUAAUACCGCAUAGGACAUAGGGUCACAUGAUUCUGUGAGGAAAGGUGGCGCAAGCUAUCGCUAAGAGAUGGACCCGCGGUGCAUUAGCUAGUUGGUAGGGUAAAGGCCUACCAAGGCGAUGAUGCAUAGCCGACCUGAGAGGGUGAUCGGCCACAUUGGGACUGAGACACGGCCCAAACUCCUACGGGAGGCAGCAGUAGGGAAUCUUCCGCAAUGGACGCAAGUCUGACGGAGCAACGCCGCGUGAGUGAAGAAGGUCUUCGGAUCGUAAAGCUCUGUUGUUAGAGAAGAACAGCGCAUAGAGUAACUGUUAUGCGUGUGACGGUAUCUAACCAGAAAGCCACGGCUAACUACGUG
rnacentral:rRNA from 1 species